CUCUGUGACUCCCUACGGGAGGCAGCAGUGGGGAAUAUUGCACAAUGGGGGAAACCCUGAUGCAGCCAUGCCGCGUGUGUGAAGAAGGCCUUCGGGUUGUAAAGCACUUUCAGUAGGGAGGAAGGUAGUGUAGUUAACACCUGCAUUAUUUGACGUUACCUACAGAAGAAGCACCGGCUAACUCCGUGCCAGCAGCCGCGGUAAUACGGAGGGUGCGAGCGUUAAUCGGAAUUACUGGGCGUAAAGCGCAUGCAGGCGGCCUGUUAAGUCAGAUGUGAAAGCCCCGGGGCUUAACCUCGGAAUUGCAUUUGAAACUGGCAGGCUAGAGUCUUGUAGAGGGGGUAGAAUUUCAGGUGUAGCGGUGAAAUGCGUAGAGAUCUGAAGGAAUACCAGUGGCGAAGGCGGCCCCCUGGACAAAGACUGACGCUCAGAUGCGAAAGCGUGGGGAGCAAACAGGAUUAGAUACCCUGGUAG
rnacentral:rRNA from 1 species